GGAGAGGUGUCCGAGCGGCUGAAGGAGCAGCACUGGAAAUGCUGUAUACGCGCAAGUGUAUCGGGGGUUCGAAUCCCCCCCUCUCCG
rnacentral:tRNA from 3 species